UUAUAGAGAUGGGUUGGAGAUGGUUUUAUACAAGGAAAAUUAUAUUUACUAGCGUUCAAACAAACUAUAAUUAGAAAUCUAGCUAAAAAAAUAAAACUUUUAUAACAUUCUUAAAAUAUAUACUAUAUUGCCCUCAACUUUUAUUUAUUUUUUCAUUUUGUUAUUUUUUUCAGUAAAUCAUUCUCCUAACUAUUACUUUUCUUUCAUAUCCACAUAUAUCAUGUCAUCAUUUACUGUUGUAUCAUCGCCAUGACCAUGAUCAUAGUGCCUCUUUAUAUCUAUGAUAACGAUUUCUAUAGAAACUACGAUCAUUCGUUGCUUCGUAACCACCAUCGCCACUUCAGUAAUUGCCGCCACUGCUGUAACUACUAUCACCACAAAUUUUUCUACUGUUGCUUCAACCACUUCUUUUUCUUCUGUAACAACUAACAUCUCUUCCGUAAUCACCAUCACCCCUUUCAUGACCGACCUCUUUCAUGACCACAUCUAUCACCACGUCCACCAUCAUUAUAGUCAGCACAACAACCACCAAUUCGUAAUCUUCACUGCA
rnacentral:lncRNA from 1 species